rnacentral:lncRNA from 1 species
GACAAGGUUCAAGCACGUCAAUAACAAAGACAAGGUGGCGUCAUAGUGUCUCCUUCCCAACUCAAUCAACCACUCAUCAAACUUCACCCCCCGGUCACCAACUGUUGCAGGGUUGGCAUCAAUAUCGCACUGAGCACGCAUGGCACAAAGGACCUCCGACAUGGCUUGUAGCCGUCCAGAAGUAAUUUCGUCCUGCACAUAUACGCGUGGCGCCGCAAUCCUCCAACGAACAGCACUCACGGACUUGCUCACGGAUGCCAGGUGUGUUGUGCGCUCUGCAUCCCCCGCAACACGGCGCCCCGUCACAUAUGCAGGAUUGCAGGGUUUGCAGACGCUACCGCUUGGCCGGGUGCCUGCAGUCGCAGUCAGGGGACAGCGCGCAGUUUCUCCAGCGACGUCCGCCACGCACCGUGGAGCAACUUCGUUACCCUUCGUUACCGACCACUCCAGCUUUCGCCACUACGGUAUCAAAUGGCUAGCUCAUAGGUGCACCCUUGUAGUAGCGCCCGCACAUGAUGUAGCACUAUCGGUAUGUCUGAUGCCUACUCAAAAGCUGCGCCUCGUGACCCAUCACACUCGUGAGUCCAUGGCGUCGCGGAAGCCAGGUAGGGAACAGACACAAAGAGCCCGAGAUCUGCAGUGUUAUUCUCCAUCUGUGGCUUCUACACGCACCUUGAGCCGAAGCUGCUGCGGGAGGGGAGCGGGCGGCGGGGGGGGGGGGGGGGGGCGGGGGUGACGUACGUACUGGCAGGUAUUUUGCGCAGCAAGCGUCCACAACGCGCCAGCGUCCUCUGCUUAACAUUAGUAAUAUGCAAGCCCACAUUUUAUAGCGAACGGUGAAGACCUGGGCUCUGAGUCGCGAGAAUCCGUUACUGAAGCUCUCGCACUGCCAGUCCCGCACUCAAAACUACGACCCCCAGGGCCGCCCCGUGCACACACGCACGCAAUUUGAGUACCUCUGGCACAUGGUUAAGCGUUCCCAAGCUUGUUUGAGGGCCCAAGUCGAUUACCUCUGGCAGCCCGGGCAAUCGACGGGGAUCACGCAAGAAAACCACUGCUGGCAUAACAACUGGUCACAAUAUUAUUCUAACAUGGUUUAAUUCUGGUUCAAGCUCCUGGUUCUGCUCGGUUCUUACUAGUCCUAGUGGGCUAAAUGGAAGACAAGCAUACAGAGUGGAAUGAGGACCAAUACGCCUUUGAUACGCGUCGCCUUUGCGUGACCGCAGCUGAAGAAG